ACUCUGUGGAGACUGCCCGGUGGUCAAACCGGAGGAAGGUGGGGAUGACGUCAAGUCCUCAUGGCCCUUAUGACCAGGGCUACACACGUGCUACAAUGGCCGGUACAAAGAGUUGCGAUACAGCGAUGUGGAGCUAAUCUCAUAAAGCCGGUCUCAGUUCGGAUUGGAGUCUGCAACUCGACUCCAUGAAGUUGGAAUCGCUAGUAAUCGCGGAUCAGCACGCCGCGGUGAAUACGUUCCCGGGCCUU
rnacentral:rRNA from 1 species